rnacentral:rRNA from 1 species
AGAGUUUGAUCUUGGCUCAGAAUCAACGCUGGCGGCGUGCCUCAGACAUGCAAGUCGAACGAUUAAAGCUCCCUUCGGGGAGUGCAUAAAGUGGCGCACGGGUGAGUAACACGUAAGUAAUCUACCUUCGAGUGGGGAAUAACAGUCGGAAACGGCUGCUAAUACCGCAUAAUGCAGCGGCAUCGCAAGAUGACAGUUGUUAAAGAUUUAUCGCUUGAAGAGGAGCUUGCGGCAGAUUAGCUAGUUGGUAAGGUAAUGGCUUACCAAGGCUACGAUCUGUAACCGGUCUAAGAGGACGGUCGGUCACACUGACACUGAAUAACGGGUCAGACUCCUACGGGAGGCAGCAGUCGGGAAUUUUGGGCAAUGGGGGAAACCCUGACCCAGCAACGCCGCGUGAAGGAUGAAGUAUUUCGGUAUGUAAACUUCGAAAGAAUAGGAAGAAUUAAUGACGGUACUAUUUAUAAGGUCCGGCUAACUACGUGCCAGCCGCCGCCGUAAC